rnacentral:misc_RNA from 1 species
CUCCAUUCCACCUAUGGGACAAAGCUAUGAGGCUCAGGAUAGGGUGGGCCAAAGCGGACAAUGUGGUUGGAGCAGGGGCAAUAUAGAUGGUAUCAGAGCCGGACCCCCUCCAAUAGAUGUGUGGUUCGAGGACGAACCAGGCGGAAGCUGGUGGGCCUGUAACAUCCCGUGCGGAAAGGGAAGGUCUCGGCUGGAGCGGUCCUCUUGGAGGAUAAGGCUCGCUGGUACCCUUGUCUAAAUGGAGGAUAUGAAUGAAUAGAAUCAUACAUUGAAAUGGGGAAAACUAAUCACUAGAGGCGUCUUUUGGUGAAAUGGCCUGGAGAG